AUUUGCAUAUGUAGUGGGAUCACCUGGUGUUAUCACAAGUGAUUUUUCUAUUAGUCAAUCGUAUAACUCUUGGGUGUGUAUAUAAGGGAGGAUUUGGGUGUGUGUUGUGUACUGAAGCACCGCUUGUGCGUCACUACCGGAGUCCCGCUGGUCCCGCCUCUGCCCCUUCCGUUCCUGCAGCAUCUGUGGAUCAGAUUGGCUGUAGCAUGUGUUGCUGUCACCCCAGCUGGAUCGCUUUUGUAAUUCCUGGGCUGUGUUUUAAUCUACAACUGCGUCCGUGAGUGCGGGUUGCUAAGUGACUUGCAUAUUAGAGGAAGAAUAACUGCGUGUGGGCACGCCGAGGGAGCAACCCCAGAUAGCACAGGUACGUCGCGGAGACGUCUUUGAAAGAUCGUAACAUCUGCUAAACAUCGCAUUCGAUCGAACGUUUUUAUUUGUUAAUGAGCCGUCUUCCUUACCUCUAUACGACGUCUAUACGAUGAAUUUUAAACUCCUGAAAUUACCGUGGCACGGAAAGCUCUGGUAAACAGACGUGACCCGCUUAAACUAGAACGAGGAGCUCUUUUCACUGUCAGAGAUGUCGCAACGCAUGGGGUGCAAGGCAAUGUCACUGAUAACGUAUUUUGCAUUCAUGACGUUCAAAGUUUGUGCUUGAUUAUCUUUUAUGACGGUUUUAAUGAGUACAUUUUAUGCACACUAUUUCUUUUUAGUUAAAAUAAUAGAAACUGUAGAAAUAUGCUCUAAAAUUAUAAAAACUUGAAAAAAUUAUAUAAUUUUCAUAAGAAAAAACGUACAGCACGUACAUGCAAACACACACACAAACACAUUUUGGACCACAUCAUGCACUUUUUAUUUGUAUUUUUUUUAGAUUAUAUGAUCCUUCAAUAGGUUAAACAAAACGUAUGCAAAAAAUAAAUAACAGCAGUAAUCUUA